GAUGAACGCUGGCGGCGUGCCUAAUACAUGCAAGUCGAGCGAACGGACGAGAAGCUUGCUUCUCUGAUGUUAGCGGCGGACGGGUGAGUAACACGUGGAUAACCUACCUAUAAGACUGGGAUAACUUCGGGAAACCGGAGCUAAUACCGGAUAAUAUUUUGAACCGCAUGGUUCAAAAGUGAAAGACGGUCUUGCUGUCACUUAUAGAUGGAUCCGCGCUGCAUUAGCUAGUUGGUAAGGUAACGGCUUACCAAGGCGACGAUGCAUAGCCGACCUGAGAGGGUGAUCGGCCACACUGGAACUGAGACACGGUCCAGACUCCUACGGGAGGCAGCAGUAGGGAAUCUUCCGCAAUGGGCGAAAGCCUGACGGAGCAACGCCGCGUGAGUGAUGAGGGUCUUCGGAUCGUAAAACUCUGUUAUUAGGGAAGAACAUAUGUGUAAGUAACUGUGCACAUCUUGACGGUACCUAAUCAGAAAGCCACGGCUAACUACGUG
rnacentral:rRNA from 1 species